CUUGUAUCUUGCCCUCCCCAUACUGACACCCUGCUGUCCCAGAGAGGCUCUUCUCAUGGGCACAGAGUGACAGAUUGCCUUCCCACCCUGCCUGGAGGAGCCAGCGGCCCGUGGCAGCAACAUGGCGGUGUAACAUAGGACACCAGCUAUCGGUCAACAGGGGGCUCCCUCCCAGGUGGGGCCCUGCAGGCCCUAGGCCAGGCCUCACUUUAACGAUUGCCAGCCCUGACUCCUGCUUCCCUCAGAACACCUUGUGGGAGGGAGGGAAAGUUGUCCUGGUCACCUGGUGGAGAAGGAUGCAGAGGGACUAAGUAGCUGUCACAAGCUGGCACAGAAAUUAAGUAAGAACACUUCUGGAUAAACAGAAGAAACAGUACAUAGCAAUAAUUGCCUUUCCAGUUUUACUAUUUGAGCCACUACUUUUGUAGCCUACCUGAAGAUGAAGAGCUUGGAGGCUUUCAGGGAGUGGCAAGGGAAUAUGAUCCAAGUUAUUGUCAGUGAUGUAAAGAUGCUGCAGUUCAUUCAGAUCCUAGAGGAUGAAGGAAAAAGGUAAAUAAUAUUCUCCCUUGACUUAGUGGAUGAACAAGUGGCAGGCACCAUAGCUAGGCUGCUCACAAUCAUCUUUGAAAGGUCUUUGAAAGGAGAGGUGCCUGAGGACUGGAGGUAAGCCAGUGCUACCCUCAUCUUCAAAAAGGGCAAGAGGGAGAAUCCGGAGAAUUACCAGCCAAUCAGCCUCAAGCCCUGGAGAGGUGAUGGACUACCUCAUUCUAGAGGCCAUCUCUAACCAAGUUGAUGACAAGAAGGUGAUCAGGAGUAGUCAGCAUGGAUUCCCUAAAGGUAAAUCAUGCUUAACCAAUCUGAUUGCCUUCUAAAAUGAAACAACUACCAGGAUAGAUGAGGGGAGAGCAUUGGGUAAUGUAUACCUUGACUUCAGUAAGGAUUUCGACAUUGUCUCUCACAACAUACUCAUAGGCAAACUUAGGAAGUAUGGACUGGAUGAACAGAUAGGGAGGUGGAUUGAUAACUGACUGAAUGGCAGAUCUCAAAGAGUCGUAAUCAAUAGCAUAGGGUCUAGUGGAAGGCCUGUCUAACUUAUUCAUCAGUGACUUGGACAGAGGAGCAGAUGCCUUCUCAGCAAGUUCAUUGACAACAAAAAUCUGGAAAGCGUGACCAUCACCCCAGAGUGCUGUGCAGUCAUUCAGAAGGACCUCAACAGGCUGGAGAGAUGGGUAGAGAGGAAUCACUUGAAAUUCAGCAAAGGCAAGUGCAGGGUCCUGUACGUGGCAAAGAAUAACCCCAAACACCAGCACAGGCUGGGGGACAACUUACUGG